UGAGUUUUGUCUUAUUUUUAUUGUUUUGUUUUGAUGAUUUAUUUUUAAUGGAAUUAUCUUUUUGUUAUUGUAUAUUUUUGAUUUAAUUUUAUUUAUUAUAGUUUACUUGUACUGUGAGGGUUUGCGUUAAUUAAUUUUUUAUAAGCUGUCUUUGUUUGUCGUACCUUGUGUAUCAGGGUUUAUUGAAUAUUAUUAUUUAUUUUUUGUUUCCCGAUUUUAAGAGGAGUUAAUGGUUUAUGUUGGUUGUUGUUUUAUAAACAUGAUUAAUAUUCUGUUGGUAGUGAAAUGUUAUUCGUCUUUGUUGGUUUCUGGUUUUUCAAGAAAUGAAUUUAAUUCAUGCAUCUUAUUUAAAUUUAUUAUUUUUUUAUUAUGUUUUAAUUUGCUGUUAAGAUUAGGGGGGAUUAGCUCUCUUUUUAAGUUAUUAUAAUUUUUUAUGUUUCAAAAUCUUUGUUGAUUUUAUAGUGAUUUUCUAUUUGAUUAUGUUAAAAUUUUAUUUUUUGUUUGUUUACUUUUAUUUUUAUUUAAUUUUUUAUUGGAAUAUUAUUUUUAAUUAUUUUUGUUUUGUAUUUAUUGUUGAAUUAGUAAAUUUGUUUUUAUUUUGUUUAUGUAUUUUUGUGAAUUUCUUCUUAGGAAUUAGGCAAGAAUUUUGUGUCCGCCUGUUUAACAAAAACAUCUUUUCUUGUUAGUUUUUGAAGUAUGGCCUGCCCACUGAGUUUUUUGAAGGGCCGCGGUAUUUUGACCGUGCAAAGGUAGCAUAAUCAUUAGUUCUUUAAUUGUGAUCUGGAAUGAAUGGCUUGACGAGAUGCAAACUGUCUUAGAUUUUGUUGAAUUUUUAUUGAAUUUGGUUUCUGAGUUAAAAUUCUCAGGUUUUUUUAUGGGACGAGAAGACCCUAUAGAGUUUAUACAUUUAUUUUUGUUUCUUUUAUUGUUUGAUUGGUUUUCUUUAAUAAAAUUAUAUUGUUUUGUUGGGGUGAUUGGAAGAAUUUGUUUAACUCUUCUUUUCUAUUUAUCAUUUAUGUGUGUUUUUUUGAUCCAUUUAUUUUGAUUAUAAGAUUAAAUUACCUUAGGGAUAACAGCGUUAUCCCCCUUGAGAGUUCUUAUUGGCAGGGGGGUUUGCGACCUCGAUGUUGGAUUAAGAUUUAUUUUUGGUGUAGGAGCUGAUAUUAUAUUGGGUCUGUUCGACCUUUAAAAUCUUACAUGAUCUGAGUUCAGACCGGCGUGAGCCAGGUUGGUUUCUAUCUAUAAUUAGUUGGUAUUCCUUAGUACGAGAGGACCAGGUAUGCAGAAUAAUUUUAUUUGUGAUGAAUUUUAGUAAUUU
rnacentral:rRNA from 1 species